AGAGUUUGAUCAUGGCUCAGAUUGAACGCUGGCGGCAUGCCUAACACAUGCAAGUCGAACGGAAACGAUGCUAGCUUGCUAGCAGGCGUCGAGUGGCGGACGGGUGAGUAAUAUAUAGGGAUCUGCCUAAUAGUGGGGGACAACGUGUGGAAACGCACGCUAAUACCGCAUACGCUCUACGGAGGAAAGUGGGGGAUCUUCGGACCUCAUGCUAUUAGAUGAACCUAUAUCGGAUUAGCUUGUUGGUGAGGUAAUGGCUCACCAAGGCGACGAUCCGUAGCUGGUUUGAGAGAAUGAUCAGCCACACUGGGACUGAGACACGGCCCAGACUCCUACGGGAGGCAGCAGUGGGGAAUAUUGCACAAUGGACGAAAGUCUGAUGCAGCAAUGCCGCGUGUGUGAAGAAGGCCUUCGGGUUGUAAAGCACUUUCAGAUGUGAGGAAAAGCAGUCUAUUAAUACUAGACUGCCGUGACGUUAACAUCAGAAGAAGGACCGGCUAACUCCGUGCCAGCAGCCGCGGUAAUACGGAGGGUCCAAGCGUUAAUCGGAAUUACUGGGCGUAAAGCGCGCGUAGGCGGAUAAUUAAGUCAGAUGUGAAAUCCCUGGGCUCAACCUAGGAACUGCAUUUGAUACUGGUUAUCUAGAGUAUGGUAGAGGUGAGUGGAAUUUCAGGUGUAGCGGUGAAAUGCGUAGAGAUCUGAAGGGACAUCAGUGGCGAAAGGCGACUCACUGCGGCCAUUACUGACGCUGAAGUGCGAAAGCGCGCUAGCAAAAGGAUUAGAUACCCUGAUAGCCCACGCCCCAAACGAUGUCUCUAGGUGUGUGAGAGCCUACUCCUGCGCAUCGAACUAGA
rnacentral:rRNA from 1 species